CUCCGGUUGAUCCCGCCGGACCCGACUGCUAUCAGAGUGGGACUGAGCCAUGCGAGUCAACAUAGCAAUAUGUGGCAUACGGCUCAGUAACACGUAGUCAACAUGCCCAGGGGACGUGGAUAACCUCGGGAAACUGAGGAUAAACCGCGAUAGGUCAUCACUUCUGGAAUGGGUAAUGACUUAAAUCUAUAUGGCCUCUGGAUUGGACUGCGGCCGAUCAGGCUGUUGGUGAGGUAAUGGCCCACCAAACCUGUAACCGGUACGGGCUCUGAGAGGAGGAGCCCGGAGAUGGGCACUGAGACAAGGGCCCAGGCCCUAUGGGGCGCAGCAGGCGCGAAACCUCUGCAAUAGGCGAAAGCUUGACAGGGUUACUCUGAGUGAUUUCCGUUAAGGAGAUCUUUUGGCACCUCUAAAAAUGGUGCAGAAUAAGGGGUGGGCAAGUCUGGUGUCAGCCGCCGCGGUAAUACCAGCACCCCGAGUGGUCGGGACGUUUAUUGGGCCUAAAGCAUCCGUAGCCGGUUCUACAAGUCUUCCGUUAAAUCCACCUGCUUAACAGAUGGGCUGCGGAAGAUACUAUAGAGCUAGGAGGCGGGAGAGGCAAGCGGUACUCGAUGGGUAGGGGUAAAAUCCGUUGAUCCAUUGAAGACCACCAGUGGCGAAGGCGGCUUGCCAGAACGCGCUCGACGGUGAGGGAUGAAAGCUGGGGGAGCAAACCGGAUUAGAUACCCGGGUAGUCCCAGCCGUAAACGAUGCAGACUCGGUGAUGGGUUGGCUUCGCGCUAACCCAGUGCCGCAGGGAAGCCGUUAAGUCUGCCGCCUGGGUAGUACGGUCGCAAGACUGAAACUUAAAGGAAUUGGCGGGGGAGCA
rnacentral:rRNA from 1 species